rnacentral:rRNA from 1 species
GAUGAACGCUGGCGGCGUGCUUAACACAUGCAAGUCGAACGGUAGAAAGGGUAGCUUGCUAUCUUUUCUUAGUGGCGGACGGGUGAGUAACGCGUGGGUAACCUGCCCUUUGCAGGGGGAUAACAGUGAGAAAUCACUGCUAAUACCGCAUACCAACUUCUUCGCAUGAAGGAAGUUUGAAAGAUUUAUCGGGCAAAGGAUGGACCCGCGUUGGAUUAGCUAGUUGGUGAGAUAACAGCCCACCAAGGCAACGAUCCAUAGCCGGCCUGAGAGGGUGAACGGCCACACUGGGACUGAGACACGGCCCAGACUCCUACGGGAGGCAGCAGUGGGGAAUAUUGCACAAUGGGCGAAAGCCUGAUGCAGCGACGCCGCGUGAAGGAUGAAGGUCUUCGGAUUGUAAACUUCUAUCAGCAGGGAAGAAAGGGCUUAUAGCCUAUGACGGUACCUGACUAAGAAGCCCCGGCUAACUACGUG